UACGUAGGGGGCAAGCGUUGUCCGGAUUUACUGGGCGUAAAGAGCGCGCAGGCGGUCGUUCAAGUCGCGUGUGAAAGCCCCCGGCUCAACUGGGGAGGGUCACGCGAUACUGAUCGACUCGAAGGCAGGAGAGGGAAGUGGAAUUCCCGGUGUAGUGGUGAAAUGCGUAGAUAUCGGGAGGAACACCAGUGGCGAAGGCGACUUCCUGGCCUGUUCUUGACGCUGAGGCGCGAAAGCUAGGGUAGCAAACGGG
rnacentral:rRNA from 1 species